UGACCAGAGCAGUGGGACAUGAUGUACCUGGUCACGUGUCUCAUCAAUAAUCAGACUCUUAGCCUGGACUCUGCUCCUCUCCCUGCGCCCCCAACUUAGGCUGCUGUAAGCGGAUGACACAGCCUCCCUCCAACAGCUGGGCUCAAUCAAAUCAAGUUCUCAGACGUCGGAACCCAGAACACUCUAGAACCUGCGAAGUUAUGGAGAAGUCUCAGACGUCGGAAUCCAGAACACCCUAGAGCCUGUGAAGUUAUGGAGAAGAGGCUGCACGUGUAACUAAGCGUACGCAGACGGGAGGGUUCCAGAUACUGAGACCAGUGCCUUUCUUGUCUGAACCGUUCAUCCUAGGCACUCAACAACAUGAAACUCAGUCAGUUCUUCACCUGGACGUGCCUGUCUGGCAAAUCAUCAGCGGAGUCCGGGGAAACCUUCCCCCACCGGCUUGGAGCCUCAGUGGCCAGCCAGCUCCCCACACCACCCAGCUGAGAGGGCUGGCCGGAUGGUGUGGCCAACUUGUGUGUCACCUCUGUGUGGAGGCUGGGCUUCUAGAAAACAGACUCAAGUUCCCCAGGAGGCUGACAGUCACAGGGCUGACACCCAGAGUCCUAUCAGCCACCCCCUUCACGAUGAUCACAGGAUCUCAGAAGCGGCUGCUAAUGUCACUCACUCAUGGGGGUGGGCCUUCACAUACACACUGCAGGGAGUUCUGCCUCAGCAUCUGUAAGCAGAUGGAAGGGAGGAGUCCCAGCUGAGCCUCAGAGCCACGUGGCCUGCGUUCCUAUCCAUGCUUAUUACUCUAGGAUCUAGAAGAAAUCCUUUUCUCACUCUGAGCCUCAGUUUAUCUUAUCAAAAUGGGUAUAAGAUUUGUUGUUUAUGUUUUGAGUCAGGGUUUGUUUCUCUGUGAAGCCCUGGCUUUCCUGACACUCACUUUAUAGACCAGGCUGACCUUGAACUCAUAGAGGUCCACCUACCUCUGCCUCCCAAGUGCUAGGACUAAAGACAUGCAGCACCACACCUGGCUAAUGUGAAGAUUUAGUAUCUGGGCCUGAGGACUCCCACCAUAUCCGUGAAGAAGAGGAGUGGGAGCCAUGAAAUGGGCUGUAAGAAAGUACCCUGCAAAAAUGCAGCACUUCCUCUCAGGAAGAGAUGGAACGAUCUAGAAGAGCAUCCGCAGCACCUAUGCAGGCCACCUGAACUUCAAAAUUAGAAAGGCCGUUUGAUUUAUCAUCAGAUUUUGCUUAGUGAGUUAAUUCAUAAACGACUUUCUGAGAAUGCUUCCCACAAGAACCCGGGUAUAGGUUAUGUUCCCUUAACUUGCCCACACGAGGCCCCCUGGGCUUCCAGCAUGCUUGUACCUGCUUGGGCUUAACCACCUGGCUGCAGGUGUCUCCCCACCAGAGCACAGUGACUCUAGUGCCCAGUGGGCAGACCUGCCUAGUGGGCUCAAUCCAGUAGACUGUUGUGGAAGAAAGCCUCCAUUCUGUAAAAGCAAUAUCACCAAGCAGGUUCAGUCCCCAGGCCUCAGAUUGGUCAUUGGUUUCCUUCUCCCUUCACAUCAAAUGUGCAAGGAUGCCCACCUGCAUCAUCCUUGGCUUUGCCAGGUAGCCGGUCCUGUUUCACCGUUUCUGCUGCUUUGCCAUGACCGGGUGAUUGAAGGAGUCGUGUCCUUCUGGUCUUUCUGCUGAGCCCUUCCUUGCCUUUGUACUCGUGCCUGAUCCCAGAAGCCACGAAGUCAGCUCUUCUCCUCGGGGCCUUUGCACGGCAGUCCCCUGCCUUCAGCCUUGAGUGCUUCCUGCGGAAGCCUUCCCUUGCUUGAGAUGUUGAGAGGUGUCACUUGGAUCCUCAGAAGAUAGACUUACCUCUCUGGAUGGCUGUUGCUCUCAGAAGACUGUCUUGUCUGAAAGAAAAGCUGCCUGUCCAAAGCCAUGUCUCCUUCCAGAGUGGCCACAUCCAAUCACUGAUGUGUGUGUGCAUCUAAUGGCUGGUAGCCCUGAUUCCUGAUGAUUCUGAUGACUUAUUCAUAUGUAGAGCUCUUCAUGGGCUUGGCUGGAGCCCUUGUGCCCCCGGAUCCCAGCUCAGUUUCUGUCUCUGUCUAAGCCUGCUUCCAUUGGCUCCCACAAACCCAUUCAUGCCAGUGACAUUGUCUGGAAAAAGCCCUGCAUACUACCCUCCCAGUCACUGUGUGGUCCUUGUCACCCACCUCUAGUAGCAGCAGCCCUCCCCAAAUGCACCCACUUUCCUUCUCAUGGGUACCUGUCACCCUCUGCACAAGCAGAUUUUGUUGUUCACAUGUCUAUGAUUUAUUCUCCCAUCACAAUAUAAGCUCUAUAAAGGCAGGAGCAGGUGUAGUUUAUAUGCCUUGAAUUCUAUGGCCUAUUCUAGUGCCUGGUCCUCCGAGCACCCAGUCAAAACAUGUAGAACAAGUAAAGUCAAUUGACCCAUCACCGUUGGCAAGAUUCCCCAGGUCACAACCCCAAUUCUAGAGUGUUGCUCAUUGUGUUGUGUGGAUCCUGAUGUUUGACUCCCAUCUCCUGGAGACCAGGGGAUCAGGUGGUGAUUUUAGUUUUAACUGCCCCAACAGCAUGGCUUUGGAAUGGACCUGACUUGGGGGAUGGGGAAUGAGGAAAUGGCAAAUAUACAUACAGAAACGCUGGCGUCGGGUGGGCUGGGGAAGCUGGAAGCCCUGGAGGAGAAACUCCAUGUGUUUAUUUGAACAGCUCAUGGAGGGGGCUGGUUUUUGGUUGAUCAUGGUAGGGCCUGUCUGUGGGGGAGCAGUCUCAGGCUGCAGUCUUGGGGAGGAGGAAGCUGCGGUUGAUAAUUUCUGCACACACUGUCAUCAUCCGUACUUGGACCAGGGCAAGACCUUGCCAUUGCCCUAAGCCUGACUCAGGACAAGCCUGGCAUUCCCACGAGUCUGAGGCAUUGGUGUCUUUCCCACGGCCAUGCUUCAGUCAUAAAUACUCAUUCAUACAAGGGUAUGCAAGCUUCCUACAUUUAUCCAACUUGCUAAUAAAAACAUCAACAUCACGUUCA